GCCGGUGUAGCUCAGUGGUAGAGCGCUUCCUUGGUAAGGAAGAGGUCACGAGUUCAAUUCUCGUCAUUGGCUCUA
rnacentral:tRNA from 1 species